UACGAAGGGGGCGAGCGUUGCUCGGAAUCACUGGGCGUAAAGGGUGCGUAGGCGGGUUCUUAAGUCAGAGGUGAAAUCCUGGAGCUCAACUCCAGAACUGCCUUUGAUACUGAGAGUCUUGAGUUCGGGAGAGGUGAGUGGAACUGCGAGUGUAGAGGUGAAAUUCGUAGAUAUUCGCAAGAACACCAGUGGCGAAGGCGGCUCACUGGCCCGAUACUGACGCUGAGGCACGAAAGCGUGGGGAGCAAACAGG
rnacentral:rRNA from 1 species